rnacentral:rRNA from 1 species
CCUACGGGUGGCAGCAGUGAGGAAUAUUGGUCAAUGGGCGCGAGCCUGAACCAGCCAAGUAGCGUGAAGGAUGACUGCCCUACGGGUUGUAAACUUCUUUUAUAGAGGAAUAAAGUGAGGCACGUGUGCCUUUUUGCAUGUACUUUAUGAAUAAGGAUCGGCUAACUCCGUGCCAGCAGCCGCGGUAAUACGGAGGAUCCGAGCGUUAUCCGGAUUUAUUGGGUUUAAAGGGAGCGUAGAUUGUUUGUUAAGUCAGUUGUGAAAGUUUGUGGCUCAACCGUAAAAUUGCAAUUGAUACUGGCAGACUUGAGUACAUUUGAGGUAGGCGGAAUGCGUGGUGUAGCGGUGAAAUGCAUAGAUAUCACGAAGAACUCCGAUUGCGAAGGCAGCUUACUAAGCUGCCACUGACAUUGAUGCUCGAAAGUGUGGGGAUCAAACAGGAUUAGAUACCCUGGUAGUC